UUCUCGAUGCUCCACCUCCCUAUGAUCCGACAACCCCGCAACAGGCAGAUUCGACAAACAUAUCAUCAGCUGUCCAAUCUGUAAUGAUUGAACCUCUAGUUGAUCUUCCAUGACUGAAGCAAUCAUCUUGACCUCCUCGGACAUAACAAAUCCCACCAUCUGGUGCAGACGACUCCUCAACCUCCUUCAUCUCAUCAUAAUCCUAUCACCCUUAGAGACAUUCAGUUCUCAUGAAUC
rnacentral:lncRNA from 1 species